UUUUGUGGAGAGUUUGAUCCUGGCUCAGGACGAACGCUGGCGGCGUGCUUAACACAUGCAAGUCGAACGAUGAAGCUCCAGCUUGCUGGGGUGGAUGAGUGGCGAACGGGUGAGUAAUGCGUGAGUGACCUGCCCCCUUCUUCGGGAUAAGCCUUGGAAACGGGGUCUAAUACCGGAUAUUCCCAUCACGGGGCAUCUUGUGGUGGGGAAAGUUU
rnacentral:rRNA from 1 species